AACGCACAUUGCGCCUCUGGAACUCUCGUACUGGAGGCAUGCCUGUUCGAGCGUCAUUGCAAAACCCUCAAGCACUAAUUAUUUUGGUUGGUUGCUUGGUCUUGGCGAAAGAGAAAUAUAAUCAAAAAUCUCCUCGCUGAAAUCAAAUGGCGGAACGGCCUCGUGGUUGCCACGACGUAAUAGGCUUUAUCACCUUUCGUCUUUGGUUUACGAGAGCUUGUCUUGCCCAUUGAACUCCCCCCAAUUUUCUAGCGCUUAACCUCGAAUCAGGUAGGGAUACCCGCUGAACUUAA
rnacentral:misc_RNA from 1 species